GAAUGGAUCACAAAGGUAGAUGGGAUUAAAGACUUGGAAGAAAUUCACGCUUCCAUAACACACACAUACCCACUCUUUCGUGAGGUGUGGAGUCCCUGGGAAAAAUUCAUGACCAAACCAGAUCCCACGAUUCACAUCCACACUUAAGGUCACACUAGCGACUGUGCACCGCCUCACAUACAACGAUAAGGUCUGGAUUCAGCACCGGUCUG